GUGUCCUACGGGAGGCAGCAGUGGGGAAUAUUGCACAAUGGGCGAAAGCCUGAUGCAGCAACGCCGCGUGAAGGAAGAAGGGUUUCGGCUCGUAAACUUCUAUCAACAGGGACGAAAGAAAUGACGGUACCUGAAUAAGAAGCCCCGGCUAACUACGUGCCAGCAGCCGCGGUAAUACGUAGGGGGCAAGCAUUAUCCGGAUUUACUGGGUGUAAAGGGGGCGCAGACGGCAGCGCAGGCCAGGAGUGAAAGCCCGGGGCCCAACCCCGGGACUGCGCUUGGAACUGCGCGGCUGGAGGGCAGGG
rnacentral:rRNA from 1 species